GACGAACGCUGGCGGCGUGCUUAACACAUGCAAGUCGAACGGAAAGGCCCUGCUUUUGUGGGGUGCUCGAGUGGCGAACGGGUGAGUAACAAGUGAGUAACCUGCCCUUGACUUUGGGAUAACUUCAGGAAACUGGGGCUAAUACCGGAUAGGAGCUCCUGCUGCAUGGUGGGGGUUGGAAAGUUUGGGCGGUUGGGGAUGGACUGGCGGCUUAUCAGCUUGUUGGGUGGGUAGUGGCUUACCAAGGCUUUGACGGGUAGCCGGCCUGCGAGGGUGACCGGCCACAUUGGGACUGAGAUACGGCCCAGACUCCUACGGGAGGCAGCAGUGGGGAAUAUUGCAGAAUGGGCGGAAGCCUGAUGCAGCAACGCCGCGUGCGGGAUGACGGCCUUCGGGGUGUAAACCGCUUUCGCCUGUGACGAAGCGUGAGUGACGGUAAUGGGUAAAGAAGCACCGGCUAACUACGUG
rnacentral:rRNA from 1 species